GAUGAACGCUGGCGGCAUGCCUAACACAUGCAAGUCGAACGAAGGCUUCGGCCUUAGUGGCGCACGGGUGCGUAACGCGUGGGAAUCUACCCUUAGGUUCGGAAUAACUCAGAGAAAUUUGAGCUAAUACCGGAUAAUGUCUUCGGACCAAAGAUUUAUCGCCUUUGGAUGAGCCCGCGUAGGAUUAGCUAGUUGGUAAGGUAAAGGCUUACCAAGGCGACGAUCCUUAGCUGGUCUGAGAGGAUGAUCAGCCACACUGGGACUGAGACACGGCCCAGACUCCUACGGGAGGCAGCAGUGGGGAAUAUUGGACAAUGGGGGCAACCCUGAUCCAGCAAUGCCGCGUGAGUGAUGAAGGCCUUCGGGUCGUAAAGCUCUUUUACCAGGGAUGAUAAUGACAGUACCUGGAGAAUAAGCUCCGGCUAACUCCGUGCCAGCCGCCGCCGUAA
rnacentral:rRNA from 1 species